rnacentral:piRNA from 1 species
UGGCUGCUCUUCCAGAGGACCCG